rnacentral:rRNA from 1 species
GAUGAACGCUGGCGGCGUGCCUAAUACAUGCAAGUCGAGCGAACAGACGAGGAGCUUGCUCCUCUGACGUUAGCGGCGGACGGGUGAGUAACACGUGGAUAACCUACCUAUAAGACUGGGAUAACUUCGGGAAACCGGAGCUAAUACCGGAUAAUAUAUUGAAUCGCAUGGUUCAAUAGUGAAAGACGGUUUUGCUGUCACUUAUAGAUGGAUCCGCGCCGCAUUAGCUAGUUGGUAAGGUAACGGCUUACCAAGGCAACGAUGCGUAGCCGACCUGAGAGGGUGAUCGGCCACACUGGAACUGAGACACGGUCCAGACUCCUACGGGAGGCAGCAGUAGGGAAUCUUCCGCAAUGGGCGAAAGCCUGACGGAGCAACGCCGCGUGGGUGAUGAAGGGCUUCGGAUCGUAAAACGCUGUUAUUAGGGAAGAACAAAUGUGUAAGUAACUAUGCACGUCUUGACGGUACCGAAGCAGAAAGCCACGGCUAACUACGU